rnacentral:misc_RNA from 1 species
AAGUCGUAACAAGGUUUCCGUAGGUGAACCUGCGGAAGGAUCAUUAAAAAUUUAUAUUCCGGGAAUUCGUUUCGUUUUCCCGGAUUAUUUGUAUUCAAAUCCCACUCUUUAUAAAUAUAUUAAUUAUAUAAAACAAAAAUAAAAAAGAAAACUUUCAACAACGGAUCUCUUGGCUCUC